AUCCGCCUCCUGCACUUCGCACUGCGCCUGCGUUCCAGCUUUGUUCACGAUGGCGUCUUCAGUGACGUCCUUUCUUCGGCUCUUCUCCUUUCUCCAGGGCAAAAAAUUGGAAAUCAAGAGGAUGCCCAUUUAAUUGAGGAGUGACUAAAUAAAUUAUGGCAUAUGAUUAUGAUAGAAUAUUAUCAUUCUAUGGGAAAUGAUCAGCAAGAUCCUUUCAGAAAAACCCGGAAAGUCCUCCAUGAGCUCAAGCAAAUUGAAAUAUACUGUGUACAAAGUAAUAGCAAUGUUCUAGGAUGAUCAACUGUGAAUGAUUUUGCUAUUCUUUUCAAUACAAUCUAAGACCAUUCUGAUGGAUUUAUGAUGAAAAAUUUUAUCCAAACCCAGAGAAAAAAUUUACUAUGUCUAAAUACAGAUUGAAGCACUCCUAUUUUUUUACACUUUAUUUUUCCUAAGGGUUUUUUUGUGGAGGGAAGAAAUGUAUAUUUUCUUUUACAAAAGGACAUUUAUGGGAGUGUUUUGUAUAACUUUACAUGUGCCCACACAUUGAGGAUGGAGAGGAGAAGAGGGAAAGAAUAUGGAAUUCAAAGUUUUUUUUUUUUAAUGUAAAAAAUACUACAUUGAUAUCAAGAAAUUUACAAAAGUGAUUACUUGUUAAUAAUUGAACAGGGAAGUAAUGGAAAGAUUUUUUUUUAAAAAUCACACUAUGGGAAAUUUAUUUAGGUAAAUAACCAUCCCUUACCUUAACCCCUGGGAGCAGCAGUCUCACAGAUUGUAUUAUACUACCAUUUGAAAAGGAGUUGUACCAAGAAAGAUGUUUGUUAUCCACUGUUAACUGUGGUUAACUGUCUAAGGUCGCAUAAAUCAAAGAUUAAUUCAUCCAGCCAGAUCAUCAUUCAUUAAGCAUUUAUUGAGUAUAUAUGAUUUACAAAUUAUACAUAGCCAUUGCCUACCUUAUGUUUACAAUCUAGUUGGGAAAAUGGGAUAUACACACAAAAUAACAUGAGUAGAUAAUAAGAAAGCACUACAUACUAAUACAAUAAAGUGCUAAAUUAUAUGAUAAAAGCAACUAGAAAAUAACAAUGGUCAUAGUAACAAUAAUAGCAUGAAUACAGUGUUUUAUAGCAUAUGAAGCUUUUCCUUCUCUCAAAAUAAUGCUAUAAGAUACAACAGGAUAAUAUAUAAUAAGGUGCUAAUCGUGCAGUACAGGCAUCCUAACAUGAUGUUAGAGAUGCAUCAACAAGGAAACAGUUCUACUCAAAUCAGAAAUUAAACAUUGAUUAAGCAAUAUAGUAGCAUUUAUAUAGCAGAGCAAUUUGCUUGGUAGAUUAGACAGAUAGUUCUUUGCCCUCAAGAAGUUUACAAUAAAGAUAUGAUACAAAUGCAAAUAACUAUGAUUUUUUAAAAAGACAGCAAGAAUUGUGAAAGAAGUGAAAACAAAGUGCCAUGUGAGGUACUACGAGGGAAAGAUGUUUUCUCUCAAUUUAACAAACACUGAUUAAGCACCUACUCUGUGCAAUUUAUUAAAUGCCUACUAUGUGCAAUAUUUGAAAGCACCUACUCUGUGCAAUGUUUAUUAUUAAGUACCUACUAUGUGCAAACCAUUAAGCGCAUACUACAUUGCCACAUGCAAAAGCUAGAAAGGAAGGCUUUCUCAACUAUAUUCCAUAUUGAUUAGGCCUUAUUCAGAGGUGAAAAAUUACUUUUUUUGUGUGGGCCUUUAUUUUGAAGAAGCAUGAGAACAUGAAAACAGCACCGGGUUUGUUUGUUUGUUUGUUUUAAAAGGUGAUGGGCCUUGUUUAGUCUGGAGAAGAAAAUGCUAAGGAAUAAUUUGUUCUUGGAAUUGAAAUUUAGGAAGUUAUAUUUCACAAAUCUACAUCUCCAUUUUGAAGAAGACUAUGAAGGGAACUGGUUUGAGGUGUUAUCAACAAUUACGUUUGUAAAACAUUGUGGAAAAAGUUUUUCUGAGAGGUUAUAAGGCCUCUUGCCCAAUAACAUGAAAAAGGACUGGGAUGGUUUAGAUGCUGUCUUCUCCUGAAGUAGGGACUAUUUAACAUAGCUGAGCUCAUAGAACUUAGAUCUCAGGAAACUUCAUUUGAACAAUGACAUGCCAAAGUCUCCCAAUUCCAUUUUUCUAGGCUCCCAAUGAAAUGAAUAGUCCCAAAGCAUUCGUUUAUGCCAGUCCAACAAAAUUUUGGAACUCUCAACACUUGAAUUUUGUCAUCUGUAAAAUGGGAGUAUCAAAAAUAAUUCCUGUUAAAUUGAACUAGGUGAGGUAAAUAUGCUUUGUAGCAAAGAAAUGGAAACAACCCACCCGUGCUCUUAAAUCUAAAAAUAUGGCAAAACAAACCAGUGUUAAUACGAUGCUAAUAAAAUUGAACUAAAACAAAGGUUGCAUUGUAUUGAAAUAAAAGAUGUAUUGUAUUGGGGGAAAAAUGACUAUAAAGAAUUCUGAACACCCUUUAAAGAUUUAUAUGAGAUAAAUACAUGGUGAAUUUAGCAGAAGUUUGGGAAAAUGAAAAGACGGGAGGAAAAAAAAAAAGAUAAACCUGAAUUAAGAUAACAACAAAAACAAUUCUAGAGGUGAAAGAAUGAAAUAUACCUCCAAUAUUGUCAUAAGAGAAUGAGGAACUUGUGAGGCUAUUGGAAUUACUGUAACAUUUGAAACAGAUUGUACAAUUUUAACUACUAUUACUACAAAUCAGAUUUUUUUAAUUACCCAAAAAGGAAAGUGAAAAAGAAAAAGAAAAUAGAUGAAUAUUUGAACUAUUCAAAAUUGCUUUUCUUUUCUUUUUUCUUUUUCUUUCUUUUUUUUUCUUUUUUUUCUUUUUUCUUUUUUUUUUUUUUUGGAAACAAAGUGGUUUUAAUUAUUUGCCCACAGUCACAGAUCUGGUAAGAUCAGCCACAUUGGGACACAUAUUCUCCUGAGUCCUAGGGACUGGUUCUAUGUUGAAAAAAUGCAAAUUUUUAAAAAUGUUUGUUAAGCAUUUAUCAUCAACCUGAUCAUUUUAACCAAUGAGUAAGGCAGUGACAUAAAAUUAGAAAAUUAACAACUUAUUAUAUUUAAGUAUGAAAAGGCAUGGUUCAAUGGGACUAAAAGAAAAAGGCCAAAUUAUGAGAAUGAGAUAAUAGAUAAAUGCCAGAAACUUCAAACAACAAUCAAAAUUAAUGAAGAAAAAAGAGUAAUUAAAGGAAGUAACAUUUAGUGGAAAAUAUCAUAAUGAAAAAUUAAUUCAUAACCUUAAAAAGAUAUGCAACACAGAAAUUUGCUUGAAAAAUGAAGUUGUAAUGAAAGAACUUAGGUAACCGUGAGUUUCCUUCCUAAAGGAUAUCAGGAAAGAGCAACUUCCAUUAGCCUUCAACCCAGUGCUCCUUCACCCUUGCCCUGGAUAAAAAGGAUGCCCUGAGUAGCCAACUAUUGGAAAGAAAUCAGGAGCCCUGCCACUGGGAAAUGGCUGAUCAAUCUAUAGCCAUACAAUGCUGAAAUAGAAAGCAUGUCUCCAACUCUGGGCUGCAAGGUGAGACAUUACAGGUACAUGGUGGUAUUUAUCCUAUCAGACAGGAUUCCCUUUUCGAUGACUAUUGGAGGAGUGAAUUUUUUUUGCUAUGGGGCUAGGUCAAGGAAUAUCACACAUGGGGCAGAGAACCCUGUAGAGUCCUUGAUGAUGAUGGCAUGGAAGCCCCACGUGACAGAGAAGUGGGUACAAAUCUGAGGGCCCUAUAGGUGAAGAAUGGCUGACAAACCUUUACUUCUGCUCUGAGUAUUAUGUGACUGAGUUAAAAGAGCAACAAGAUUAUUGCAUAAGGUAUCGGAGUGUGCAAGAGGAUAGUGAGAUAGCUGAUUAGCAAAUACCCCUGCUGCCCCAGCUGGGCAGAGAGGAAUACAGGUACAAUGUGUCACCUUCCUCAGCAAUGAAAGGUGGUUUGAAAGCAGUGAGUCUGCUUGGCUACAGGGUCCCAGAAAGGAGCAAUAUCCAUUGGCCUGCAAUACAAUGCUCCUUCAGCCUUGCCCUCGAUGGAAAGAAUGCUCUGAUUGGCCAAGUAUUAGAAAGAAACCAGGGGCCCUGCCUCUGGGAAGUGGCUGUCAACCUACAACCAAUAUAGUGCUGAAAUCCUAGCCACUCACCAAUAGAAAGGAAAGACCUGCCCUCUGACUGAAUAUCAAAACCUUGCUUGGUCUCAGAGAGCAGGAUAGCUUGUUGCACCCCAUCUCUGGGGUCAGAGAGGGGCCCUCUGGGUGAACUGCUGCUUCUCCUGGUAGACCAGGGCAGCAUGGAACUGACUGGUGACCCAAUGUCUGGUCUUUGCUGAAGAGCCAAUGCCAGGAGGACUGACAUGAAGCUGGGGUAUGAUGCUCAUUCUACCUAGGUCCCACUGUAAGGCCAGUUCUCACUAGCAAUGGCAAACAAACAGGAACAACCUUCCUGUGGAGAAUAACAGAUGAACCCUUGAUCAUACACUGGCAGAAGGCUUGUAAGAGAAAUGCUGAAAGAAGCCUUUUCCUCUAAGUAGAAAUCAUGACCCUGCUUGGUCUCCAGAAAAUAAGUGAGUUUGCAAACCUAAGUGUUCAGGGGUGAGUUUGCAAACCUAGGAGUGAAAAGGGGUAACUUCCAAGGCAAAGAGGUUCCCAUUUGAACUAGCUUGGCAUUAAGUGAUUUUAAGAGCUAGAAGGCUUAGGAAAGGAGCAAAGAGGUGGGGGUGGUAUUCUAUAUACAUUAAACCUGAAAGCCAGUAGAAUAGAAGCCCUUCCUGCCAGAGAAUGAGUAGGAAUUAGAAACAAGGCCCUUUUCUGUCAUUGGAAGGGCUAACAAAUAAGGAUCUAUGCAGUGGAUUUUGUUUCUCUCUAACUGUAUCUCUUCAUUGCUCCAUAGCUGCAUCCCUGGGCUGCGAGGUGAGGCACUACCGUGCAUCAUAGUAUUUACCCUGGCAGACAGAGUAACUAACCAUUUUAAUAUGUGUGGAAUGGAGCUAGGAGAGUUUCUGAGUAUUUGAGUAAUUGAGAGAAAACACUGAUUGUAAAGGCAAAAAAUCCGAAGAUUAAAACCAAUGUUUUUUUAACUAAGAUUCAAUGAAUGCUGAGAACAGAAGAGGGAGAAGAAAGCAUAGCCCCACCCCUGGCUAGCUAGGUGAGACUCUAGAAGCCCUGGUGGCAUUUACCCUGAAACACAAGGUUAUCUUGUUGGAUACCUGUGGGAAUAGUGAAUUUUCAUUGACAAGGGACUCUCAGCAAGACUAUGCUACAUGGCCAAGGUUACCAUAUGGAAUUACCCGCAUCCAUGGUAGCAUGUAAGCGCCAUGUUAUAAAGAAGUAGCUACCAAUCGGGAGCCCUACAAGAGAACCCUUUAUCAGGAUACUGAAGGAACAGGGUUGGAGACCAAUGGACAGUUAAAGCAAGUCUGUGCAGAAAUCAAGAAGUAGAAGAGGAUAUUAGAAAAAGAAGCAAAAGUCAAGACCCCACCCCUAGGCUGCGAGGUGAGGCACUACAGGUGUAUAAUGGUGUUUACCCUGAAACACAGGGUGACCUUGUUGUUUGACUGUGGGAAUAGUGAAUUUUCUAUGCUAUAGGGCUAGCUCAAGGAUCAUCACACAUGGGGCACAGAACCAUGUGAAAUACCCACAGAACCAUGUGAAAUACUCUUGGAAUGUCAAACCCAUAUAACAAAGAAGUGGUUACAAACCGGGGGCCUUACAGGUGGAAAAUGAAUGAGAAACCUUCACAGGACUCUGAGGGUAUGGUAUUGGAUGCCAAUAAACAUAGGAAAGCCUUUGCUGGUGGAAACCAUACAGGGAAUAGCCAAGAUAUUUGAAAAGUGAGAAGAAAGCAAGACACCACUCCUGGGCUGCGAGGUGGGGCACAACAGGUGCAUCAUGGUGUUUACCCUGAAGCACAGGGUUACCUUAUUGGAUCACUGUGGGAAUAGUGAAUUUUCUUUGCCAUCAGACUGUCACCAAGAGUAUUCCACAUGGCCAAGGUUAACUUAUGGAAUUCCCCUUGAUCAUGAUGACCUGUAAGUCCCAUUUUACAAAGAAGUGGUUAAACAACGGGGGCCCUACUGGAGAAAAAUGAAUGAGAACCCAUUAUAAUGAUCCUGAGGGAAGAGGGUUGGGAACCAAUGGACAAUGGAAGCAAGCCUGUGCCAAAAUCAGGAGCUAGAAUAGGCUAUUAGAAAAAGGAGCAAAAGUCAAGCCCCCACCCCUGGGCGGCAAGGUGAGGCACUACAGGUGCAUGAUGGUGUUUACCCUGAAGCACAAGAUUACCUUGUUGGAUGACUGUGGGAAUAGUGAAUUUUCUGAGCAAUAGGGCUGGCUCAAGGAUCAUCACACAUGGGGCAGAGAACCAUGUGGAAUACCCCUGAGUACUGUUGGUAUGUCAAACCCAUAUAACAAAGAAGUGGUUACCAACCGGGGACCCUACGGGAGAAAAAUGAAUGAGAACCCAUUAUAAGGAUACUGAGGGAAGAGGGUUGGGAACCAGUGGACAGUGGAGGCAAACCUGUGCAGAAAUCAGGAGGUAGAAUAGGAUAUUAGAAAAAGGAGCAAAAGUCAAGACCCCACCCCUGGGCUGCGAGGUGAGGCACUACAGGUGCAUGAUGGUGUUUACCCUGAAGUACAGGGUUACCUUAUUGGAUGACUGUGGGAAUAGUGAAUUUUCUGUGCUAUAGAGCUGGCUCAAGGAUCAUCACACAUGGGGCAGAGAACCAUGUGGAAUACUCCUGAGUACUGUUGGUACGUCAAACCCAUAUAACACAGAAGUGGUUACAAACCGGAGGCCCUACUGGAGAAAAAUGAAUGAGAACCCAUUAUAAUGAUACUGAGGGAAGAGGGUUGGGAACCAAUGGACAGUGGAAGCAAGCCUGUGCAGACAUCAAGAGGUAGAACAGGAUAUUAGAAAAAGGAGCAAAAGUCAAGACCCCACCCCUGGGCUGCGAGGUGAGGCACUACAGGUGUAUGAUGGUGUUUACCCUGAAGCACAGGGUUACCUCAUUGUUUGACUGUGGGAAUAGUGAAUUUUCUGUGCUAUAGGGCUGGCUCAAGGAUCAUCCCACAUGGGGCAGAGAACCAUGUGGAAUACCCCUGAGUACUGUUGGUACGUCAAACCCAUAUAACACAGAAGUGGUUACAAACCGGGGGCCCUACAGGUGGAGAAUGAAUGAGAAACCAUCACAGACUGAGGGUAAGGUGUUGGAAGCCUGUAAACAAAGUAAGAAAGCUUUUGCUGCUGGAACCUAUACAAGGAAUAGCCAAGAUAUUUGAAAUUUGAGAAGAAAGCAAGACCCCACCCCUGGGCUGCGAGGUGAGGCACUACAGGUGCAUGAUGGUGUUUACCCUGAAGUACAGGGUUACCUUAUUGGAUGACUGUGGGAAUAGUGAAUUUUCUGUGCUAUAGGGCUGGCUCAAGGAUCAUCACACAUGGGGCAGAGAACCAUGUGGAAUACUCCUGAGUACUGUUGGUACGUCAAACCCAUAUAACACAGAAGUGGU